AUCUGACCUCAAAUCAGGUAGGACUACCCGCUGAACUUAAGCAUAUCAAUAAGCGGAGGAAAAGAAACUAACAAGGAUUCCCCUAGUAACUGCGAGUGAAGCGGGAAAAGCUCAAAUUUAAAAUCUGGCAUCCUUAGGGUGUCCGAGUUGUAGUCUGGAGAAGCAUUUUCCGUGCUGGACUGUGUAAAAGUCUCUUGGAAUAGAGCAUCAUAGAGGGUGAGAAUCCCGUCUUUGACACAGACUACCAGUGCUUUGUGAUGUGCUCUCAAAGAGUCGCGUUGUUUGGGAAUGCAGCGCAAAAUGGGUGGUAAAUUCCAUCUAAAGCUAAAUAUUGGCGAGAGACCGAUAGCGAACAAGUACCGUGAGGGAAAGAUGAAAAGCACUUUGGAAAGAGAGUUAAACAGUACGUGAAAUUGUUGAAAGGGAAACGCUUGAAGUCAGUCGCAUUGGCUAGGACUCAGCCUUGCAUUUUUGCUUGGUGUAUUUCCUAGUUAAUGGGCCAGCAUCAAUUUUGACCAAUGGAAAAGGUUCAGGGGAAUGUGGCACCUUCGGGUGUGUUAUAGCCUCUGUUCACAUACAUUGGUUGGGAUUGAGGACCGCAGCACGCCUUUAUGGCCGGGGUUCGCCCACGUUCGUGCUUAGGAUGCUGGCGUAAUGGCUUUAAACGACCCGUCUUGAAACACGGACCAAGGAGUCUAACAUGCCUGCGAGUGUUUGGGUGUUAAACCCAUACGCGUAGUGAAAGCAAAAGUUGAGAUCCCUGUCGUGGGGAGCAUCGACGCCCGGUCUUGAGCCUUGGCGACAGAUCUGAGGUUGAGCAUGUAUGUUGGGACCCGAAAGAUGGUGAACUAUGCCUGAAUAGGGUGAAGCCAGAGGAAAACUCUGGUGGAGGCUCGUAGCGAUUCUGACGUGCAAAUCGAUCGUCAAAUUUGGGUAUAGGGGGCGAAAGACUAAUCGAAACCAUCUAGUAGCUGGUUCCUGCCCGAAGUUU
rnacentral:rRNA from 1 species